rnacentral:misc_RNA from 1 species
GAGGAGUGGCAUUCACCUAUAUUUAAAUGCUGAAAAUUACAACUCAAUUUCCAUUAUGGAAAUCAGCAAAAUCGACCAAACAGCAUGAUCACAAAAAUCAAAAUCAAAAGACAAACACAAAAGAACUUAGUAAGGGGGAAGAGGUUACCUUUCUUAGUGCAGAAAACUUGGAACCAAACGAGCUUGAAAGGAUGACUCCACCACCACAAAGUCGGGUGUCAACUGCCAACGAGGAACUCUUCACUCCCUUUUCGGAUGUAUUUUGAAUAAAUUUUACAACUAUUCAAACUUUUCAACUCAAUAGUCUCCAACCAAUUUCUUAACCAAUCUUUCCUAGCCAAGAGAAAGACAAUUCAAA